rnacentral:misc_RNA from 1 species
GAAAUACAAUAAGUAAUAUAAAUUAUAGAAUUUAAUAAAUUAUUAAAUUUUUAAACGCACAUUAUGCUCCUUGGUAUUCUGUGGGGCAUGCCUAUUUGAGCGUUAUCUACACCCUUAAGCUCUACUUAGUGUUGGGCGUCUAUCCCGCCUUUACGCGUAGACUUAUUUUAAAUAUAUUAGUAGUGGUCUUUGCCUUCUCCCGUGUAGUAUAUUGCGCUUCUUAAGGCUGUAGUAGCCUGUGUCUAAUAAGCUAAACCCCCCCGUCUUUAACCUCGGAUUAGGUAGGGAUACCCGCUGAACUUAAGC